rnacentral:rRNA from 1 species
GACGAACGCUGGCGGCGUGCUUAACACAUGCAAGUCGAACGAAGUGGCGAACGGGUGAGUAAUACGUGGGUAACCUGCCCUCCUUUUUGGGAUAAGCCUUGGAAACCGGGUCUAAUACCGAAUAAAGGGGUAUGGGCGCGGGGGCUUUCAGGUUGUUGGUGGGGUGAUGGCCUACCAUGGCCGUGACGGGUAGCCGGCCGGAGGGGGUGAACGGGCAGAUUGUGACUGAGAUACGGCCCAGGCUCGUACGAGAGGCAGAAGUGGGGGAUAGGGCGAAAUGGUGGAAAGACGGAGGCAGCGACGCCGAGUGGGGGAUGAGGGCGUACGGGUUGGAAACCUGUUGAGAUAUAGAACGGGUAGGUGGAGAAGAAGCGCCGGCUAACUACGUGCCAGCCGCCGCGGUAAUAC